GGCGGAGUCGCUCACCGUUCCGUUACAAGGGUCCGUUUCUCCCGGUUGUGUUCAGUGCAGCAGCUGCGAGGAUCUGAGGAAACUCACUCACUCACUCACCCUCCCGUGUCUCGGAUACUUUACGGUCCCGCCCGGUCUCCAGUCACCCGCUCGGGAGCAGAGAACCGUCCCGUCUUGAGAUGAUGCCGAGUCUCGGUCUGUUCGUGUCUCUGGUGGUUCUGACGGUGUCCGUUACCGGCAGCAGUGACGGAAACCCGCUGGACAAUGAUAAGUGGAUGAGCACCGUGUCCCAGUACGACAAAAGCAAAUACUGGAACAAAUUCCGCGACGUGAUCACUUCAGAG